AUGCACAAGGUGGGCAGAGAAGAAAACUUUCCCCAAAUCUUAAAAUGUUGGAUCUUGACUUUCUUAUCUCUCCUGUUUCUUUUCCUUAAGAUUUUAUUUAUUUAUUCAAAUAGAUAUCUAUAUAUAUAUAUAAAUGUAAUGUGCAUAAAUAGGACCAAGUUAACAACAAAACCACUGGGCCAAAUCACACCAAAUUUGGCCACAAUACUCAUCACUUUCCAAGGAGUGACCUUGCAGCUUCAAAGCCUGGUUGCUUCAUACCUAGGAGAUUCCAUUGUUACCCAACUUUACCCAAUAUUUGGGUCAGCUUAUACUCAGGAAUAUAUAGUACAUUUAUUAUUUUUCUCUAUUAUUGUUGCUCCUAUUACAUUUUUUUACUCUAUUUUUAUUAUUAUUAUUACAUUUAUUAUUUUACUCUAUUUAUUAUUGCAUGUAUUAUUUUACUCUAUUAUUAUUGAAAGGAUACAUAAGCACAUUUACAUUGAAGAAGGUGAGAAUCAUGAUUUGAUCAGAGUUGGACAUACUCGGGUGAGGGACCUGGUUGGCUUAUAUUUGGGUCAGCUUAUACUCAAGGAUAUAUGGUACAUUUAUUAUUUUUCUCUAUUAUUAUUGACAUUAUUACAUUUAUUAUUUUUCUCUUUUAUUGUUGCUACUAUUACAUUUAUUUUACUCUAUUUGUAUUAUUAUUAUUAAUACAUUUAUUAUUUCACUCUGAUUUUAUUAUUAUUAUUUUAUUGUAUGACACAGCAAACAAGAUAGAUAUGCUGGAUUUCGUAUCACAAAAUCACAAGUCGAACACUUCCCAAGUGUCUAGGACUGUGUGAUGUAUUUUCGGAUGAUGCGUGCAGAUCCCAGUAGGGUGGCCUUUUGCAUUUGGCAGAUCGUAAUUUUGUCAAUGUCUAUUGUUUCCAAAUAUUAAUAAUAUUGUUUCCAAGUAUUAUUAUUAUUAAUAACAAUAACAAUAACAACAACAACAAUAAUAACAAUAAUAAUUUAUUUAUUUAUUACAAUAUUUAUAUCCUGCCCUUCUCACCCAACAGGGGACUCAGGGCGGCUUACAAUAAAACGCAUAUAUAAAAAUUAUACAUUGCAAUAUAAAUCAGUUAAAAAAUUAUUAUUAACUUACAUCAAUAUUCAUAAAACACAUAAAAUACAGGUAGGCGUGUUCAUUGCAUUUAUUAUUUUCCUGUAUUUAUUAUUACAUGUAUUAUUUUCCUGUAUUUAUUAUUAUUAUUAUUACAUGUAUUAUUUUACUCUGUUAUUAUUAAAAGGAUACAUAAGCACAUUUACAUUGAAGAAGAUGAGAAUAAUGAUUGGAUCAGAGUUGGAGAGUCUUAUCUUAAAUUAGAGCUUUAUGUAAAUAUUCAAAAACAUUUAACCUACCGAUGCCUCAAUUAAUGUAAUUUUAUUGGUAUCUGUUUUUAUUUCUGAAAUUUACCACUCUCGGCUUAUACUGGAGUCAAUGUUUUCCUAGUUUGUUUGUGGUAAAAUUAGGUGCCUCGGCUUAUAUUCGGGUCAGCUUAUACUUGAAUAUAUACGGUAUAUAUCAUAAGCUCAGAUGGGGUACCAGAUCAUGAUAUCACUCCUGAGAAGCAAAGGUUUCUCGCCCUCCUGAAUCUUGGCUCCACCGCAAUGCCACACAAGUGCUGUGUUUAAAAGUUUGGAAAAGAACCCUUCAGGUUGCAAACUGGCCAAAGCUAUAGCCUGCUUAGUUUCAGCAUGUUCUUCAGUGAUGCCAUUUCAGAUUUCAAGGCAUGGGGAGGUGAGGCAAGGCUUGAAGCGCAAGGAGUCGGUGAUCAAAGCAGAAGAUUUGGCAGCCCAGCUUAGCAUCUUGUUUGCAGCAUUGCCUCCUUCGUGGGCCCAGCUGCUCUCUGCAGUGCUGAGUUCUUUCGCAUGCUGUUGGCGAACAUGUUCUCGGCACAAGUCAAUGUUGAAAUAUCCGCCCGGGUUUUUUUUCUUGGCAACAGUUAAUCACGGGUCAAACCAUUGCAAAGGUGAGCAUUGGCAGGUACAUAUGCCCUGAGAACUUUCAUCAGCAAGGGAUUUAAUGAACUGCAUCAACUCUUAGAAUUAAUUUUUCCUCUCUCCUCCCCACCUGAAUGCACGGUCUCUUAUUCCUGCACCUCAUUUCUACAGGUUGAUGUUAUACUCCCGGCAUUUUUCCUCCCCCAUGUUAACACUGAAUGCAUUACUACCUCUGCCUCCCUGUUCUUUAAUGGUCUCAAAUUGACUUGAUUUACUCUGAAGGCAUCCCAACAAAAAGGCUGUGAUGGAACACACUUCAUUAAUAACGUAUAUACUCGAAGAUAAGCCAAGUUUUUCAGCCCUUUUUAUGAGAUGAAAAAGCCUCCCCCGGAUUAUAAUCGGGUCAAGGUCAAGGCCGGCAAGGGAGCCUGGAGGCUAUUGCUUGCAAUAUGUGAUCUAUUUCUCUCUUCUCCUCCCUUAUCAGUGUGUUUUCUUUUGCAAAGCCUCCCUCGCUCUUAAUCAAGGGAAUGUUUUGAAAAGAGAAAGACACCCUUGCAAGUCAGGAAGAAGAAAAAUAUAUAUUCAUUAAUCUUAUGAAAGCAUUUUCCCCUGAAAUAUUUGUUAAACUCUCCUACAGAUAUAUAGGCAUUAACCCCUUGCAAGCUUUUGCAACCUCUAUGUACCUUUAUAUUUGUAUCUAUCUAUAUACAUUAAUGUUACAUAUGAAUUUCUCCUCAUGUUUACAGGUCUUUGCAAAUCCUUUAUACAUAUAGAUCCAUGUACCUGUGUAUCUGUAGCCAUACAUAUACAUUAUUUUUAUAUAUGAAUUUACCCUCAUAUGUUUGCAAGUCUCUGCAAAUAUCUAUAUAAAGAGAGAUGUCUGGAUAGAUAUGAAUAUAUUCUUACCUACCGAUAUAUAGGGCUUGCAAAUAUUACAAGGGGGAAAUGAACACACAAAUAUAUGUAUAGACAUGUGUGUGUGUGUGUGUGUAUUUAUAUAUAUAUAUAUAUAUAUAUAUAUAUAUAUAUAUGGAUAUAUAUAUAUAUAUAUAUAUAUAUAUAUAUAUAUAUAUAUAGGGCUUGCAAAUAUUGUAGGGGAAAUGCACACACAUACACAGAGGGGAUUUGCAAACGUUUUGGGGGAAAUGCAUAUGUGAAAUUAGUAUAUAUAAUUAUAGAUUUAUAUCUAGCUCUGCAUUGUUUAUAUAAGCAUUGAAUGUUUGCCUGUUACUAUGUUGGAUGCACAUAGGAUGCACAUAGGAUUGGAUGCACAUAGGAUGCACAUAGGAUGCACGUUCUCACAAAGUAAAGAAUCGGUGGGGCUCUAUCAAGUGAUGUAUCUCUCCCCUCUUGUUUUGUGAAGCGGCGCAGCUCCGAUGGAAUAAUCUUGUUAAAAAAUCUCAGCGGGAAUGGAAUGUAAUUAAAUAUGAACGCAUUCAUUUUGGAACAAUCUCUCAUUCACCUGCGAAGUAAAAAAACAAACAAAAAAAAACAACCACCAGCAGCUGUCACAUUGUUCAUUUCUCAAUCACAAAGAGCGUGAUUCCACCAAACGACGACGCCACUCCAAUAGCAAAAGAGUCAGCGCCAUAUUUCUCAGGUGCCAACUGAGCCGGAAACAAAAGUGCAAUUAACAUACGAACACUGCAAGUAUAAUCAAUCUUCUCUGAUCCUAAUAAGUCGUUACGAUGCAUAUUGCAGUGAUUGGGAAGACAUAAUGCAAACCAGCAAAAGGGAUUUCUCUCUCUCUCUUUCAAUCUCUCUCUUUCUCUCUGUCCACCUGAACUACCGUAUAUAAUGUAUAAGUCUCAACGUUUUAUUCAAAAAGUCAGCUUGCCAAAACUGUGACACUGGUGCUUUCCCCUCUCCAUUGAGUAACCUUCAAUGUAUCAAUAGUCAUAUCAAAAUCCAUAAUUUUGGCCCCCAAACCUGCCCUCGACUUAUACACGAGGUUGACUUUUACAUGAGUAUAUACACACAGUGUUCAAUCGUUGUCCCAAAACAGUCAUUCAGGACAUUUAAUCUAAACCCAACUGAAAGAGGCUCAUUCUAUCAGUUUCCACUAGACCAGCCAUUGGAGAAAUCUGCCAUCACCAUUCAGAAAAGUCUCCCCUCUUCCCUCCCACAGUUCCCAGAAUCCUCCCAAAGCAGCAUGACUAUGAUGUUGGGAAUUAAUGCAAUCCUGGGAGUUGUAACUCAACUGAGUCUAUGGGAAAUGUUGUGCUUUAUUAACUGUACAUGUUAUUAUGUCUAUGCAUCCACACUGUAUCUCUGUGAAUCCAUAUCCACCACCACCACCAGUAGUUAGUUGUUGGUAGCUUCUAUGUCAGUGAAAUAGUGAAUGUGCUCUGGGAUUUAGACCAAACCUCUAAGAGUCCUGGAUUCUCUUCCUAAAAUAUAUUCAGCGCCUUGGAUGCAUCAUUCAACAUUCAAAUCAAAACCAGGAACGGAAUCAUUGCCCUACUGACUUGGAAAUCAGUUGCUACGUUAUCAAGUUCAAAUCAAAACCUGGAAUGGAAUUAUUGCCCUACUGACUUAGAAACCAGUUGCUAAGUUAUCAAGUUCAAAUCAAAACCAGGAAUGGAAUUAUUGCCCUACUGACUUGGAAACCAGUUGCUAAGUUAUCAAGUUCAAAUCAAAACCUGGAUUGGAAUCAUUGCCCAACUGACUUGGAAACCAGUUGCUAAGUUAUCAAGUUCAAAUCAAAACCUGGAAUGGAAUUAUUGCCCUACUGACUUGGAAACCAGUUGCUAAGUUAUCAAGUUCAAAUCAAAACCAGGAAUGGAAUCAUUGCCCUACUGACUUGGAAACCAGUUGCUAAGUUAUCAAGUUCAAAUCAAAACCUGGAAUGGAAUUAUUGCCCAACUGACUUGGAAACCAGUUGCUAAGUUAUCAAGUUCAAAUCA
rnacentral:lncRNA from 1 species